GACGAACGCUGGCGGCGUGCUUAACACAUGCAAGUCGAACGGAAAGGCCCUGCUUUUGUGGGGUGCUCGAGUGGCGAACGGGUGAGUAACACGUGAGUAACCUGCCCUUGACUUUGUGAUAACUUCAGGAAACUGGGGCUAAUACCGGAUAGGAGCUCCUGCUGCAUGGUGGGGGUUGGACAGUUUCGGCGGUUGGGGAUGGACUCGCGGCUUAUCAGCUUGUUGGUGGGGUAGUGGCUUACCAAGGCUUUGACGGGUAGCCUGCCUGAGAGGGUGAACGGCCACAUUGGGACUACGAUACGGACCAGACUCCUACGGGAGGCAGCAGUGGGGAAUAUUGCACAAUGGGCGGACGCCUGAUACAGCAACGCCGCGUGCGGGAUGACGGCCUUCGGGUUAUAAACCGCUUUCGCCUGUGACGAAGCGUGAGUGACGGUAAUGGGUAAAGAAGCACCGGCUAACUACGUG
rnacentral:rRNA from 1 species